AUCACCUGGCGGUGCUCACUCGAUUUGCGCGCUCUCCAUGCGUCCACUUCUACCUGCGAACCUGCAUCUUCCCGUGUCACCCCCAGUCCCCGUGUACCUCUCCACUUCGCAUGGCAGUUCCGCGCUCACUGCGUGCCACUCCCUAUGUACGAUACCCUAUGCCCUCUCACUUCAUUGGUCGAUCCCUUGUCCCCUCCUGGAAGAAGCGAACAAGAAGGCUGGCAACGCUCAAGCCCGAAUGGGCGAGGACGAGUUUAAAGCGUACAGAAGGGCAACGACGGACGAGUGUCGACUUCUUCGACGGAGGCCACGGCGCUGCUUCGUUGGUCAACGCCACCCGGCGGCGAUGCUCUGCCUCUCAAGGCGCGACGCAUGCGCGCGUGACCAUGAAGGUGUAUGUAGAGGUGCUCGAUGUCAUUUGCUGAGCGUGACUCCCCCCUUCUGAGGUUCCUGCCACACCUUUCUCCUUGAUUCCCGCCGUUGUGACCGCCAUCCUUGUGUGUGUGUCUCUCUUCUCUGUUACACAG
rnacentral:misc_RNA from 1 species